rnacentral:lncRNA from 11 species
CUGCCAUAUGGAUUGCCAUAUUAAAUCAUGAAAAUGGCUCCUCUGCCUGUAAGGAACAAUAUGCAAUUGAUUACCAUAUUAAAUCAUGAAAAGGGUUCCUCUGCUGUAUAGGUUGCCAUAUUGAAUCAUGAAAAGGGCUCCUCUGCCUUUAGGGAUUCAUAUGCCAUUGAUUGCCAUGUUAUGCCAGGAAUUGGGCUCCUCUGCCUUUAAGGAGCAAUCUGCCAUUGGUUGCCACGUUCAAUCAGAAAUAAGGCUCGUAUGCCAUUGAUUGCCAUGUUAUGCCAAGAAUAGGACUCUUCUGCUGUAUAUUUUGUUUUGAAGCCAUUGGAAUGCAGUUUUGAAGAAAGCCAACAUGGGAUGGAAGGAAGGAGGGAGGGCUGCCAAUCAGGCUGCAGAACCAAAGGCGAGGCCACGCCCCCUUUCCUCCGGGGGCGUGGCUAGCCCCCCUGACCGGAAGCGCUGCCCUCCACCCUCUUGGGCCACGGGACCGGAAGCCGGAAGCAGAGGAGCAAAAAUGCGGGAGACGCCAGUAGGUGGGGGGAGGGGCGCGUCAUGGGAAUUCGCAUUGAUAGUCUUGACUCAACCUUCUCUGUGGGACUUCUGCCUGAAGCUGCACCUGAUGGCCUUAGAAUACUGCUAA